UACGUAGGGUGCAAGCGUUAAUCGGAAUUACUGGGCGUAAAGCGUGCGCAGGCGGUUAUGUAAGACAGGUGUGAAAUCCCCGGGCUUAACCUGGGAAUUGCAUUUGUGACUGCAUGGCUAGAGUGUGUCAGAGGGGGGUAGAAUUCCACGUGUAGCAGUGAAAUGCGUAGAUAUGUGGAGGAAUACCGAUGGCGAAGGCGGGUCUCUGGGCAGUAACUGACGCUGAGGAGCGAAAGCGUGGGGAGCGAACAGG
rnacentral:rRNA from 1 species